AACUCAGAACCAAAACCAGUCAAACCCAGAUUGACUAAAAAUGGACUUGAACCGGACUGAAACCAUAUUGGGCCAAACUUUUUUUUCCCUUAAAAAAAAAGGAAAAAAUUUUGACCAUUAAAUUUGAUCAAAACCGGAAUCAAAAUAGGGACAGAAACUGGAAUGAGAGGGGGACCCUUUGGUCUGGUUCCGGUUCCCUGGCCCUUGAACCAGAACUGCAGGUCCAGGAGCCAGAACCGUGGCUGGCCCUAGUAUUAGGUGAUAGGGAAAUUCAUCUGAAGGUGGCAGCAGAUUCAAAUCCUGAAACUUUGUGCAUGGGUGGUGAAAUUUCAGGAUUUUUUUUUUUGUGUGUGAUUGUGUGACAAAAUUAGAUCAGAGUUCAAUAGAUAUUGCAGUAAAAUCAACAUGUCCUGGCUCCAUAGGCUAUCACCAUUGUUGUUGAAAAUACAAAGGUCAAAAAAGUACCAUGAAUUCUUGCAAUUUCACUUUCUGGUUCUAGAAACGUACCUCACCAAUCUCUCUAUAAUGAA
rnacentral:misc_RNA from 1 species